rnacentral:rRNA from 1 species
CCUACGGGAGGCUGCAGUAGGGAAUAUUGCUCAAUGGGGGAAACCCUGAAGCAGCAACGCCGCGUGGAGGAUGAAGGUUUUAGGAUUUUAAACUCCUUUUGUUAGAGAAGAUUAUGACGGUAUCUAACGAAUAAGCACCGGCUAACUCCGUGCCAGCAGCCGCGGUACUACGGAGGGUGCAAGCGUUACUCGGAAUCACUGGGCUUAAAGAGUGCGUAGGCGGGAUAAUAAGUCAGAUGUGAAAUCCUGUAGCUUAAAUACAGAACUGCAUUUGAAACUGUUACUCUGGAGUGUGCGAGAGGUAGGUGGAAUUCUUGGUGUAGGGGUAAAAUCCGUAGAGAUCAAGAGGAAUACUCAUUGCGAAGGCGACCUGCUGGAACAUUACUGACGCUGAGGCACGAAAGCGUGGGGAGCGAACAGGAUUAGAUACCCUGGUAGUC